AGAAACCAGGAGUCCUGGCUCCCAGCCCCCCUGCUCUAACCCACUAGAUCACACUCCUUCCAGAGCCUGGGAGAGAACCCACGAGUCCU